rnacentral:lncRNA from 1 species
CUCCAUACCCCUAUAUCCACAUGACUCAGCUCCGUACCCCUAUAUCCACGACUCAGCUCCAUAUCCCUAUAUCCACAACUCAGCUCCGUACCCCUAUAUUCACAUGACUCAGCUCCGUACCCCUAUAUCCACGACUCAGCUCCGUACCCCUAUAUCCACAUGACUCAGCUCCGUACCCCUAUAAUCCACAUGACUCAGCUCCGUACCCCUAUAUCCACGACCCAGCUCCGUACCCCUAUAAUCCACAUGACUCAGCUCCGUACCCCUGUAUCCACAUGACUCAGCGCCGUACCCCUGUAUCCACGACUCGGCUCCAUACCCCGAUAUCCACGACUCGGCUCUGUGCCCCUAUAUCCACAACUCAGCGCUGUACCCCUACAUUCACG